GAUCAUGGCUCAGGAUGAACGCUGGCGGCGUGCCUAACACAUGCAAGUCGAGCGAAGCACUUUGCUUAGAUUCUUCGGAUGAAGAGGAUUGUGACUGAGCGGCGGACGGGUGAGUAACGCGUGGGUAACCUGCCUCAUACAGGGGGAUAACAGUUAGAAAUGACUGCUAAUACAGCAUAAGACCACAGCACCGCAUGGUGGACGGGGUAAAACUCC
rnacentral:rRNA from 1 species